AUUGAACGCUAGCGGCAGGCCUAACACAUGCAAGUCGAACGAGUGGCGGACGGGUGAGUAAUGUAUGGGAACCUGCCUGAUGGAGGGGGAUAACUACUGGAAACGGUAGCUAAUACCGCAUACCAUCGGAUGUGCCCAUAUGGGAUUAGCUCGUUGGUGGGGUAACGGCUCACCUGGGCGACGAUCCCUAGCUGGUCUGAGAGGAUGACCAGACACACUGGAACUGAGACACGGACCAGAAUCCUACGGGAGGCAGAAGCGGUGAAUAUUGGACAAUGGGGGAAAUCCUGAUGCAGCCAGGCCGCGUGUAUGAAGAAGGCCUUCGGGUUGUAAAGUACUUUUAGCGGGGAGGCGUUACCCGCAGAAGAAGCACCGGCUAACUCCGGGCCAGCAGCCGCGGUAAUAC
rnacentral:rRNA from 1 species